AUUAUGUUAUAAAUGAGGGCGGCACAGUGGCUUAGUGGUUAGCACGGAUGCCUUACAGCAAGAAGGUCCGGGGUUUGCUUCUGACCUGGUCCUGUCUUUGU